rnacentral:lncRNA from 1 species
CACAGACCUCGGUUUGAAUACUGGGUCCCCCACCCACUGACUCUCUUCUCCGGCCUCGGGUCCUCAGCUGUCAGUGGGAGCACGGUCACAGUGCCUCCUCGAGGAUUACUGGCAGCAUGUGGGGGAUCUGGGCGGGCAGGUCCCUGGGCCAGCCUGGCACAUGGCAGGAACCCAGCAGAGAGAGGGCAGCCAUUUCCACCAGGAUUGGCUAUUCUCCCAGGGGCCAUCACUUGUCCCCUCGUCUUAAGCUGUGGUGGCCGCCCCUCCUCUGUCCAUGGUCCUGCUUACCCCCCGGAGCCCGGGCUGCCUGCUCUCUCUCGGCUCAGCCCCAGAACACACCUUCUCUCCAUCUCCCUCGCUUGGGUGCCAACGGCCUUGCAGGUGGAAGCCGUGCGUUGCCCGGGGAAGAACAAUGCCAGGCGCUUGGCCGCCCGGCCCCCUUCCAGGGCCUCCAAACGGCAUGUGACGGAUGGCGGGCCUCUGGCCUUUGCUGAAUAUUCAGGGAAAUGAGCACAUCCAUCAUCUUCACGCGUUUUUCUGAAGUUGCUGGCGUUGUGUCUGAUGGCUGCUAAUCCUGACGGGGCCACAUCUGUGUCGAAGAAGGGGGCACGAGAGCAGAGGCUGUGCAGGGGGCCCCCGGGGGUUCUCCGACUCCUCCCUCACCCACGUGUCCACCAGCAGCAGCCCAGCACCUCCCUGCUCUCCCCCCCUCCACCUCUCUGGCUCAGACGGGCUCCCGAUCACGUCUCCUCCAGGAAGCCUCCUGGGUCCAGGCUGCUGUCACUCUGAGUGACUGUGGCUCUGCUCCCAGCCAGCAGAGUCCUGUGUGCCUGCGUGCCCAGGUACAGCAGCAAAUGCUCUGUGGUCCCAUAGUGGGUGAGGUGAGCUGUCGACUAGGACCUCAGGCAAGAGUGGGAGCCCCACGUCCUGCCCUCCACGCUAGCUUCCAACCUGACGUCACUGCGGGCAUGGCAGACAGGUCUCACACUGUACCCGGGCUUCUUCUGGUGAUGUGUUGAGAAGGAUCCUGAAGCGAGUUCUCAGCUCAGGCAGACGUACGCCUGUUGAUCGGUGAUGCCUGCGUGUGCCUGUUGAUUGGUGAUGCCUGCCGUGGGUGUGGGCAGGUGGGGUGGGGUCGGCUUGCGUUCCACUAGGCCGCCAGCUCUGGACCUUCCUUUGGCCUGUAAACCACCUGAGGGCAGACUC